rnacentral:rRNA from 1 species
AUUUGAGUGGCGGGUGCUAUACAUGCAGUCGACGAACUCUGGUAUUGAUUGGUGCUUGCAUCAUGAUUUACAUUUGAGUGAGUGGCGAACUGGUGAGUAACACGUGGGAAACCUGCCCAGAAGCGGGGGAUAACACCUGGAAACAGAUGCUAAUACCGCAUAACAACUUGGACCGCAUGGUCCGAGUUUGAAAGAUGGCUUCGGCUAUCACUUUUGGAUGGUCCCGCGGCGUAUUAGCUAGAUGGUGGGGUAACGGCUCACCAUGGCAAUGAUACGUAGCCGACCUGAGAGGGUAAUCGGCCACAUUGGGACUGAGACACGGCCCAAACUCCUACGGGAGGCAGCAGUAGGGAAUCUUCCACAAUGGACGAAAGUCUGAUGGAGCAACGCCGCGUGAGUGAAGAAGGGUUUCGGCUCGUAAAACUCUGUUGCUAAAGAAGAACAUAUCUGACAGUAACUGUUCAGGUAUUGACGGUAUUUAACCAGAAAGCCACGGCUAACUACGUGCCACCACCCGCGGUAAUACGUACGUGGCAAGCGCUGUCCGGAUUUAUUGGGCGUAAAGCGAGCGCACGCGGUUUUCUACCCCUGAUGUGAAACGCCUUCUGCCUCAACCGAAGAACCGCAUCUACAAACUGGGAAACCUUGACUGAACGAUGACGACAGCGGCAACAUCAC